rfam:Triticum aestivum genome assembly, contig: Triticum_aestivum_CS42_TGACv1_scaffold_146513_2BS
GUAGUAUUCCCUCCGUCCCAAAAUUCUUGUCUUACAUUUGAUCAUACGGAUGUAUCUAACACUAAAAUGUAACUAGAUACAUCCAUAUUUAGAAAAAUUUAAGACAAGAAUUUUUGGACGGAGGGAGUACAAA